AUGACCCACCCUCCUGCUUUGCUAAUAAGAUCCAGCCCAUCUUCAAGCUCCUCUGCCCAGAAAGGGAAACGUUAAAACAAAAACAGAGAAACAUCUAAGAAGGCACUUGCAAUUCCAGAGGCCAGAAGUCCCAAAUUAAGGUGUUGGCAGAGCCACAGUCUCUCUGAAGACUUUAGCAGAAGAUCCUUGCUUCCCCUUCACCUUCUGCCGUGAUUCUAAGGUUCCUGAGGCCUCCCAGUCAUGCUUCCUGUUAAGCCUGUGGAACUGUGAGUCAAUUAAACUUCUUUUCUUUGUAAAUUGCCCAGACUCAGGUAGCUAUUUACAGCGGUAUGAAAAUGGACUAAUACAACCACUGAUGUGAAGAAAAACUCCAGAACUAUCACAGAAAGGCAGGUGGCAAAGAGAAACACCUGCCCAAGCAUAGGUAUGGAAGGCAUCACACAUAAGGAAAUAUGAGGAAAAGUCAAUCCAGCACAGGGUAAGUGGGAUGCCAUUGCUCAAGUCCAGAAAAUUCAUGUCAUGAUAUUUGGGCACAGAGGCAAUGGAGGUCAGAGAAUACCUCAGAUGGUGGGGAAAUAGUUCAUGGAUGUAAAAAAAGGACGCCAAGUAUGGGACCCACAUUUGCCAUUUGAGAAGAAGUUUUUCAUUUAGGGAACGGGGUUUCAUUUCUAGCUUCACAGAACUCUGCAUGUCUGGGCCUCACCUCUGGAAAUUCUGGAGACAUUUCGGAAACUCCAUAGUGGGCUCUAAUGCGUAGCCAUAGUGGAACCCCUUUACCUUAGGGAGAAAGAAUUGAUGAUUAAAUUAAGCCAUAGACUUUUGAUGCAGAAUAUAAAUUGCUCUAUAGUAGACUAUAAGUGUCCCUGUAAUGUGUCUAUAGUAGCUGUUUAGUAAGCCUCAGAGAGCAACUGUAGUGUUUUUUUUGUUUGUUUGUUUGUUUUUUUGGAUUCUAUUAAUUCUUUAUUUCCCAAAGACCAAAUUAAAGAAUCUUUUCCGGAGGCCCAGAGGCCCUAAAAACAUGGUAGAUCCACUCAAUCAUCCUGUCGUAAUUUGCUGAUGGUAUAGACUAUCCUUUACUGAGUCAGGUGGAUCAAUAGUCAUACAACAGGGAUAUGGGCUUGCUGAGCAUGGCCAUCCAUUUGUUAUGUGUAUGCUGUAUGGUAUAUCCACCUGAUAGUGAUAACUUAAGCACACCCUGAGAAUGCCCUGUAUGGCAGAUGCACCUGAAUAUGUGUUUGGAGUUCUGAGCUAAGGAAUCCAGGAAUGGCCAAUCUGAAAAUUCAUUCCUUGUCUAUGAGGAACAUCUAAAUCCCUGGCCUGUCUUGUGGAUCAUGGGUAAUACAGGGCAGCAAGGCCAUUUGUUUUGGGUUAAAUGAAGGUUGCCAGGUAGAGAUUGUUGUGGGAAGAGUGCUAAGAGAAAAUGCUAUAUGAACUGCAUGUUUUUCUCUGGCCAGCCUGCCACCACUGGGCCAUCCCUGUAUGUAAGUUGCCUGCUAAUAAAACUCUAUGUCUCUGGGAACAGAAAAACAAAUAGACAAACAAACAAACAAACAAAAACCAACCCCCAAACCCCUAUGUCUUGUUUUCUGGCUCUGGUUUCUCCUUUGGCGUCAUAAACCUACUCCCAUCCCUACUGAUCUUAAUAGGGGUCUGGCAUGACAUAUGUAUGUGUAUGUGUACAUAUACAUAACUGAACAAAGUAGACAAAAAUGCCUGUCUUUAUGAAGCUUAUGUUCUAUUGGGAGAAGAUAGGCAGUAAACAAAUAAGUAGAAUUUAUUUUUUUAUCAGAUGGAAAUAAAGCAGACACACAGGAUGAACAGUGAUGGGGUGUAGAGGGUUACAAUUAUAUAAAGUGAUCAGGGAUUGCCUGAAGGGAACAACCCAUUCUAGUCUAAGUAAUUUGAGACAUGCUAUAUUAUGGACAUUGUGUUUUACAUCAAGAAGGAACCAAGACAGAUUCAAGAAGUUGCCUUCUCCUAUGUCCUCCCUCUCACCCAAGAAUCCUUGGGAAUCCAGAACCGGGCUGUCCAGUGUGAUAGCCACCAGUCCAUGUGCUACUUAAAUUUAAAUUAAUAAAAUUAAAUAAAACUUCAAAAUCAAUUUCUCAGUCAUACUACCUACACUUCAAGUGCUUAAAAGCCACAGGGCUAAUGUCUGCUAUAUUGGACAUCAAAGAGAACCUUUCCAUUGUUGCAGAAACUCCUGUUGAUUAGAGCUGCUCUUGAAUGAAGUGGGACAGUAUCUUAGACAAGGAAAAUGGCUUAACAAUGGGCACAAUGACCUAGGUUCAACUGCUGAUUAUAGGAGUUCCCUUCUUUAAGGAAAUACACGUGACUAAGAUUUAAUGAUACAUAACAUAGAAGAUAAGUAGCAACAUUUUAGAAAUAUUUCUUUUUCUAAAAGGAGUUAUUGUAGAGUUUAAAAAAUAAUGACGUUAAUCAGUACAUUUAAAUUCAACCUCACUCAGAGAAAUGUACACGCCGGGUUGUAAAUUGUAAAUAAUUGGUUUCUUGUGCAAAGGAAGGUAUCUUGUUAGCUAAGCAAUGAUUUUGUUUCUCAUUCAGUCACUCACCAGAGAAGAGAAUCUUUUCGCUCUGUUUUUAAAACUGAAGUUAGUUAGUUGUCAAUUCCACCUAGAAACAUGAAAAUAAAAACAAAAACACAGAAUAAAUUGAUACUGAGAAUGUAGUCCCAAGCUUCACAGAGGCUUGAAGACAACACUAAAUGAACACACGUUGAUAAUUUAUGAUUUAUUGUUAGUGGACUUAGGUGGGGGAUUGAAGUGGGGAGGAGAUAACAGGAAGUCUAAGAAGAGGGAGUGGCCUCUUCUAGGGUAUCUCUACUUAGUGUGAGAGAGAAGGCUGGUAGGAAUGCAUCUCAAGAAUUUCUGCCUCAUCUUUCUCCCUGCUGUGUCCUCCCAAUUUUGUGUUACCCCAAAAUUCAUAUCUUAAAAUCUUAACCCCCAAAGUGAUAGUAUUAGGAGGUGGGGCCUCUUGGGAUGUGAUUAAGUCAUGAGGGUGGAGCCUUGAUGAAUGGAAUUAGUGCCCUUAUGAAAAAGACCAAAGGGAGUUUGUUUGCUCUUUUCACCACAUAAGGAGGUAGUGAAAAGACAGCUCUCUAUGAGUCAGAAAGCCAGCCCUCACCAGACACGGAAUCUGCUGGCACCUUCCUCUUGGACUUUCCAGCCCUUCAGAACUGUGAGAAAUUUCUGUUGUUUAUAAGCUACCCCAUUAAUGAUAAUUUGUUAUAGCAGUGCAAACUGACUAAGCCACUCCCUUUCCUUCUGUUUUCCGUAUCUGCCAUCACCUUUGUCCCAUGCCUUUCUGUGUUCUCAUUCUUCUAGAAAACCACAUAAAACAUCCAGAAUUUCAAAUGGGCAUGCUGAGGAUUGGGAUGGUUCCAGGUGGAACACUUGUUGCUGUUUCCCUAGCUCAAGUGUAGGAUUUAUUGAGAACAGAAACUGCGAUGUUUUUAAUCAUAGCCAUAAUCUUUAUCAGGCUGAUAGUCCUAUAAUCUGUCUGCAUUUAAAAGAUAGCCUUUCCCCACAGGGCACAGGCGCUCAUGCCUGUAAUCCCAGCACUUUGGGAGGCUGAGGUAGGCAGGUUACCUGAGGUCAGGAGUUCGAGACCAGCCUGGCUAACAUGGUGAAACCCCGUUUCUACUAAAAAUACAAAAAAUUAGCUGGGUACGGUGGCACGUGCCUGUAAUCCCAGCUACUUGGGAGGCUGAGGCAGGAUAAUCGCUUGAACCCAGGAGGUAGAGGUUGCAGUGAGCCAAGAUCGUGCCAUUGCACUCUAGCUUGGGCAACAAGAGUGAAACUCCUUCUCAU